GGACGCUUAAGUCAGUUGUGAAAGUUUGCGGCUCAACCGUAAAAUUGCAGUUGAUACUGGGUGUCUUGAGUACAGUAGAGGCAGGCGGAAUUCGUGGUGUAGCGGUGAAAUGCUUAGAUAUCACGAAGAACUCCGAUUGCGAAGGCAGCUUGCUGGACUGUAACUGACGCUGAUGCUCGAAAGUGUGGGUAUCAAACAGGAUUAGAUACCCUGGUAGUCCACACAGUAAACGAUGAAUACUCGCUGUUUGCGAUAUACAGUAAGCGGCCAAGCGAAAGCGUUAAGUAUUCCACCUGGGGAGUACGCCGGCAACGGUGAAACUCAAAGGAAUUGACGGGGGCCCGCACAAGCGGAGGAACAUGUGGUUUAAUUCGAUGAUACGCGAGGAACCUUACCCGGGCUUGAAUUGCAACUGAAUGAUGUGGAGACAUGUCAGCCGCAAGGCAGUUGUGAAGGUGCUGCAUGGUUGUCGUCAGCUCGUGCCGUGAGGUGUCGGCUUAAGUGCCAUAACGAGCGCAACCCUUAUCGAUAGUUACCAUCAGGUUAUGCUGGGGACUCUGUCGAGACUGCCGUCGUAAGAUGUGAGGAAGGUGGGGAUGACGUCAAAUCAGCACGGCCCUUACGUCCGGGGCUACACACGUGUUACAAUGGGGGGUACAGAAGGCAGCUACACGGCGACGUGAUGCUAAUCCCGAAAGCCUCUCUCAGUUCGGAUUGGAGUCUGCAACCCGACUCCAUGAAGCUGGAUUCGCUAGUAAUCGCGCAUCAGCCACGGCGCGGUGAAUACGUUCCCGGGCCUUGUACACACCGCCCGUCAAGCCAUGAAAGCCGGGGGUACCUGAAGUGCGUAACCGCGAGGAGCGCCCUAGGGUAA
rnacentral:rRNA from 1 species